CUUGGGCCAAAGUGGGCUAGAAAAAGAUAGCAAACUAUUCGUUUCAUUUAUAUUUUUUUAAAAAUAAACUCAGCUAAAAAUUCGAAGCAGCUAGAAUUCAAACUUGGAACUUCAGAUGCCAAUUAUCAAAUUCUUAGUCAACUACACUACAUACGGUCGGUAAUCCUAAGUACAGUCGUCUUUGGCUCCACAAUGUUCAAACUAUUUAUUUUGAAGAUAAUUUGUUUCUCAUUUGUUCCCUUCAAUAGAUGAUAUAUCGAAGAAUAAAUUUGAAAUUGGACAGUUUAGAAAGUGCACAUGCAUUCAUUUUUUUUUGGGAAAACUUCAAAAACCCCUCCUGUCGUUUCGUAGUUUCUCACUUUGCCCUCCUGUGGUUUAAAAUGUAUCAAUUUGCUCCCAUGUGGUUUUUUUUUUUCUCUUUUUCUUAUUAAUUUUUUUUUAAAUCAGUGAUAAAGUUAAAAUUAAAAGGUACUAAAGUGAAUAUUUGAUAAAUCUAGAUGGGUAUCUGAAGUUUUUUGUAUAUAAUUUAAUAAAAUAUUAACGAAAAAGCUACCGAAAAGAUAAAAACGAAACCACAGGAGGACAAAUUGAUAUACUUUAAACCACAUGGUACUAAAGUGGGAAACAAUGAAACCACAGGGGGAUUUUUGAAGUUUUUCCUUUUUUUUUAAUUACUUUUGGCAGAAGAUAAGGAUAAUCAUAAG
rnacentral:lncRNA from 1 species